ACGAAGACUCUGCUGAUAAAGAUUCUGGUUGGCUGAGCGGUUGGCUGCUGAGAUCCUGCGCUCAAACUGUACUUGCACAUGGGCAGAGAGUUGGUGCGAGAUAUGCUGAAUGCUCCGAAGAAGGCGGCGACAUGCGGGACGUCGCGGUGAGUGGUUCCUCCGAAAGAGUCCACAGAAAGAAGCGUUGCAUUCGUCGUUGGACCUCUGGGGACCUACACGAAAAUGGCGAAAAGGGGACCUGCUCCGCUGUGUGGCCGGUUCUGUAUACUGACAGUUGCGUCAACGGUACAUGGUGUGGAGCCUAUGUAGAAGACAGUACAACGGAGGAACAGGGCAAUGUUUAAUGGAAGGGCCAGAUAGGAACGAGUGAAGCACGAGGUGGCGUCGUCGUCUUCAUCAGGAAAUAUUUAGCGGACUGCCCCCCCCCCCCUCCCCCGCGAAAAGGCGAUAUCGGGUUCUGGUGUAUUCCAUCAUCGUUAUGGUCAUACGACAAUAAGCUCCGAUAGAUGUACAAGUUGUUUGACAAGACAUUGUAGCACCCGUUCCAGAGCACACAAGAGGCGGAGAUGCGUAGAAGGCAACUGCAACAGUACCGUGUGUGCGGAGUGCACAAAGUGCGACAUCGGGUUAUGUGUGUCAUGAUUUGAACGCUUUCAUAAUGGCUAACUUCAAGUUGUUUUCUAACCAAAAAAAAAAUGCUACCGCGUUUUCUUUUGUUUCUUUUUUUUUUUGUUUGUUUGUUUUUCGUGUAAACGAAUAAUCAGUAGUGAACUACUGCUCUAAAGGGCGAGCUUCACCAUAUCGUUACACGCGCUGACUCGCAAACAGAGUUUGAAAUAAAUAUAUUAAUGGCU